rnacentral:rRNA from 1 species
GACGAAGGGGGCUAGCGUUGUUCGGAAUUACUGGGCGUAAAGCGAGUGUAGGUGGUUGUCCAAGUUGGAUGUGGAAGCCUUGAGCUCAACUCAAGAAAUGCAUUCAGGACUGGGCGACUAGAGGACCGGAGAGGAUAGUGGAAUUCCCAGUGUAGUGGUGAAAUACGUAGAGAUUGGGAAGAACACCAGUGGCGAAGGCGGCUAUCUGGACGGUUUCUGACACUAAGACUCGAAAGCGUGGGGAGCAAACAGG